GAAUAUGACAGGCCCCAAUGAGAACUGCUAAUUCCUUAUUUCCGUGGUUCAAAUCCACGGCUUAUUCA
rnacentral:tRNA from 1 species